AUUGAACGCUGGCGGCAUGCCUUACACAUGCAAGUCGAACGGCAGCACGGGAGCAAUCCUGGUGGCGAGUGGCGAACGGGUGAGUAAUACAUCGGAACGUGCCCAAUCGUGGGGGAUAACGUAGCGAAAGCUACGCUAAUACCGCAUACGAUCUACGGAUGAAAGCAGGGGAUCGCAAGACCUUGCGCGAAUGGAGCGGCCGAUGGCAGAUUAGGUAGUUGGUGGGGGAAAGGCCUACCAAGCCGACGAUCUGUAGCUGGUUUGAGAGGACGACCAGCCACACUGGGACUGAGACACGGCCCAGACUCCUACGGGAGGCAGCAGUGGGGAAUUUUGGACAAUGGGCGCAAGCCUGAUCCAGCCAUGCCGCGUGCAGGAUGAAGGCCUUCGGGUUGUAAACUGCUUUUGUACGGAACGAAACGGCGCUUUCUAAUACAGAGCGCUAAUGACGGUACCGUAAGAAUAAGCACCGGCUAACUACGUGCCAGCCGCCGCAGUAACAC
rnacentral:rRNA from 1 species